ACUUAAAAUCCUCCCACUUUUCCAUAAGUGAAGUAAGCCCGACUUUCUUGUAAAAAAAAAAUAACUGUUUCCUCCAAGUCAAAUUGAACUAAAUUUUCGUCAUUGUCGUUGAAUUUUGAAUGCAAAUCAUGUAAUUUUAUAGCAAAAGCCGAUUUUAUCCGAAAUAAUUCGUCUGCUUGAGAAAAGAGAAAUAGUUACGGUGUGUAAGAGCACUUACAAUGCCGGGCUGUAAACUGCAACCAGUGACAACAAGCCAAGUAGACGUAUAAAAAAAAAAAAAAGAAGAUGAAUAGUUAAUCUGCUUUAGGAGUCGCGUUGACUAAGUACGUGAAAACAAAUGUUUUACUAUGCUGAUCAAUUGAUUCCUCAUUCUGCAGGUCUUGCCUUUAUUGUCUAAUAUUUAAAAAUGUUGGUAGUGAAAAAAACUUCGUUGUGGCUUUAUGAGAAACCAAGAUCCCUUUCUCAAAUGGAAAGAGACUUUGCUGGACAGGUAUAUGUCGACUAAACACAUGAAGUUCUCAUGUGAUUGAUUAAUAGUU